rnacentral:rRNA from 1 species
CCCUUAGAUGUUCUGGGCCGCACGCGCGCCACACUGAUGAAUUCAACGAGCUCCUAACCUAGGCCGAAGGGUCCGGGUAAUCUUUGAAAUUUCAUCGUGAUGGGGAUAGAUUAUUGCAAUUAUUAAUCUUCAACGAGGAAUUCCUAGUAAGCGCGAGUCAUCAGCUCGCGUUGAUUACGUCCCUGCCCUUUGUACACACCGCCCGUCGCUCCUACCGAUUGAAUGGUCCGGUGAAAUGUUCGGAUCGCGGCAAAUCGGACGGGUAACCGUCAGGUUCGCUGCGAGAAGUUCAUUAAACCUUAUCAUUUAGAGGAAGGAGAAGUCGUAACA